rnacentral:rRNA from 1 species
GACGAACGCUGGCGGCGUGCUUAACACAUGCAAGUCGAACGGAAAGGCCCUGCUUUUGUGGGGUGCUCGAGUGGCGAACGGGUGAGUAACACGUGAGUAACCUGCCCUUGACUUUGGGAUAACUUCAGGAAACUGGGGCUAAUACCGGAUAGGAGCUCCUGCUGCAUGGUGGGGUUUGGAAAGUUUCGGCGGUUGGGGAUGGACUCGCGGCUUAUCAGCUUGUUGGUGGGGUAGUGGCUUACCAAGGCUUUGACGGGUAGCCGGCCUGAGAGGGUGACCGGCCACAUUGGGACUGAGAUACGGCCCAGACUCCUACGGGAGGCAGCAGUGGGGAAUAUUGCACAAUGGGCGGAAGCCUGGUGCAGCAACGCCGCGUGCGGGAUGACGGCCUUCGGGUUGUAAACCGCUUUCGCCUGUGACGAAGCGUGAGUGACGGUAAUGGGUAAAGAAGCACCGGCUAACUACGUG